rnacentral:rRNA from 1 species
CCUGGAGCUUGCUCCAGGUGACAGUGGCAGACGGGUGAGUAACGCGUGGCAACCUACCUUUUUCUACGGAACAACAGUUAGAAAUGACUGCUAAUACCGUAUACGCCCUCCGGGGGAAAGAUUUAUCGGUGAAAGAUGGGGCCGCGUUAGAUUAGCUAGUUGGUGAGGUAAUGGCUCACCAAGGCGACGAUCUAUAGCUGGUCUGAGAGAAUGAUCAGCCACACUGGGACUGAGACACGGCCCAGACUCCUACGGGAGGCAGCAGGGGGGAAUAUUGCACAAUGGGGGGAACCCUGAUGCAGCCAUGCCGCGUGUGUGAAGAAGGCCUUCGGGUUGUAAAGCACUUUCAGUUGUGAGGAAAGGUUAGUAGUUAAUACCUGCUAGCUGUGACGUUAGCAACAGAAGAAGCACCGGCUAACUCCGUGCCAGCAGCCGCGGUAAUACGGAGGGUGCGAGCGUUAAUCGGAAUUACUGGGCGUAAAGCGCACGCAGGCGGUUUGUUAAGCUAGAUGUGAAAGCCCCGGGCUCAACCUGGGAAUAGCAUUUAGAACUGGCAGACUAGAGUCUUGGAGAGGGGAGUGGAAUUUCUGGUGUAGCGGUGAAAUG